rnacentral:lncRNA from 10 species
UUUAACGGCCGGUCAGGAACCCAACAAUUAGUCCCUUCUCGUCCGAGAGGAAACUCUGUGAGAAGAUGGGACCGUGAGCACUCUCUUUAACAAGGACAUUUCCUUUUCAGCGAAAGCAGCGCUCUGAUUUACCAAGUCUGGCGGACCGCAGCGCUUUAAAGGAAUGAGGUUCCAGCGGUCGCGCCAAGCAGCGUACGCAGCCUAUUUUAAGUUAUGCUACCUUCGCCACAGAAACCAAGAACGUUGUAAUGGUCCGGCAAGUGCCCACGUAUAAUUGUUCUCCAUCACUUACCCACUCUAGUUCGGGAACACCCUUGUCGCCGCCGUUCCGGUAACACCUCUCCAACGCUUUCGAUGCUUCUACUUCUUCGGGAACAAGACAAGAUGGCGCCCGAUUUGUCUCACCCGGAAGUAAAGAAUAAUAACAUCCGUUUGUCAUCUGAAGCCAUACCAUCUCUCAUCCAGGUUUGUGAACACGUGAUUGUGCGGAUUGACAUGUUUCGGCGCCAUUUUUUUUGUGGGCAAAACCAUCUCUACUCUGGUCAACACCGGGCAACUGAACCAUUCCUGCACGUUACUUUUUAACGUAGCUGGCGCCAUUCCCGACCCAUCUUUAUAGUGGCCAGAAAGCCAAGAACGUAAGUGUUCUACACAUAGGGCGCCUUCAAAUUUUUUACUUUAGCAACGUGAUCUUCCUUUAAGGGGAAGUAUGUUCCCUCCUAGAAACACUCCCGCCUUGGAGAAGGGGUUGAGUUCGCAACUCCACUUACAGACUACGGAGGAACCCCAGGGUCAAACCAAACCAAACCAAUUCUGGCCAGUUGCUUAGCGCAGUUCAAGUUACUUAGUGCGCUGGAAGCGGCAUUUCAGGCAAUCCAACUUCUGGCUCGAACCUUCUCGGAGUAUUCCAAGGAUGGAAUACUCUCACUUGAGCGCUGCCGAGGGUGCCGCUUGAGGAAAACGUGAGUUUGUGAAGGCCCUCACCUCUGCCCUCCAAGUGGCCAGCAUCUGCUUUGCACACAGAAAUUUUUACAUCUGCUAUAUGUUUGCAUUAAUAUGUUCAACAAUGAUCCUAAUGUAGGCCAGUCAUUUUGGAAAUGCAUUGUGAAGUGGAGAGGAUUAUUAAAUACCUCACAUUUUGUUCCUUGUGCCAGUUUAAUGAGACACCCUCAGCAAUUGCUAUUUACCAGACCAGAAAAUGAAUUUUACAGUUCCAAUUCCAGUUCCCUUUCUCUAACCACUCUGUUCUAAGAGUUCCCCGUAACAUUAUGAUCUUAUGGACACAUCAGGAUGUUUGUUGCAGAUACAGUUCCACCACUGUACAUUAAGUAUGUGGAAAACAGAAGAUAUCCUUUUGGUUCCUGGGUCUCCAGAACAGUAGGAGCAAACAUCCAAAUCUGAUAUAGCACUUCCAGAGAGCCUGGUCUUGGAGGAUAAAACUUUACCUUGAUGGGACUUUUGGCCCCGGUCCCUUAAGAGUUGGGAUUUGGGGUUGUACUGCAGCACAACUCAGCCUAUCCUAAUACAUAUGGGAAUGCAAACAUCUCAGAUAUUUCUUCUUGGGUGCAAUUUAAAAUACGUAUGAAAUGGCUUCAGAAGUGUCCAUGAACCUUCAAAAUUACAUACAAGAAUUAGGGAGAUACAUUUUUCUGGGAACAUACAGAUGUUAAGACUUCCCUUCUCCGUCUCUAUAUUGCCAGAAGAGAGGGCCCCAGAAUUAAAACCCCAUCCUUCCUACAACACUCAGCUUUCUCUUUCAGGAAUAUCAGUACUAAUAUCACCAUGCCUUUUAUCUCUAGGAUAUCUUCAUCCCCUGUACCUUAAUUUCUGCAUGACUUCAUAGGGAGUCCAUAUUGCUUGAUUUUUCUCCAUAUCAUUACCAUUGACAUAAAUUUUCCUUACAUUCUUAGAAUGUGUAUUUCCUCACCUUUUAGAUUUCUGGCUCUUAUGU